rnacentral:rRNA from 1 species
AGUUUAAAGUUAAAUUAUUUUAAAUGUAUCCUGCCCAGUGUUUUUUAAUAAAUGGCCGCAGUACCCUGACUGUGCAAAGGUAGCAUAAUCAAUUGGCUUUUAAUUAAAGUCUGGAAUGAAUGGAUUUAUGAAAAAAAGCUGUCUUAAAAAUAUUAUAUUUAAGUUAAUUAUUAGGUGAAAAUACCUAUUUAAAGAAAAAAGACGAGAAGACCCUUAGAAUUUUUUUAAUAUACAUGUUAAGUAUUUUAUUUUGUUGGGGCGACAAUUAAGCAUUUUAACCUUAAGUUUUUUAUAAAACGAAAUUGUUAUAAAAGAUUAAAUUACCUUAGGGAUAACAGCAUUAUUUAAAAAAGUUUGUGACCUCGAUGUUGGACUAGGAACUUAAAGAUAAGCCAUCUUAAAAGAUUUGUUCUGUUCGAACAAUUUUAUCCU